GUGAGGAAUUUUCCGCAAUGGGCGAAAGCCUGACGGAGCAAUGCCGCGUGAAGGAUGAAGGACUAUGGGUUGUAAACUUCUUUUCUCAGAAAAGAAUUAUGACGGUAUCUGAGGAAUAAGCAUCGGCUAACUCUGUGCCAGAAGCCGCGGUAAGACAGAGGAUGCAAGCGUUAUCCGGAAUGAUUGGGCGUAAAGCGUCUGUAGGUUGUUUAAAAAGUAUUCUGUCAAAGAUUAGGGCUUAACCCUAGAUAGGCAGAAUAAACUUUUAAGCUAGAGUUUGGUAGAGGCAGAGGGAAUUCCCGGUGGAGCGGUGAAAUGCGUAGAUAUCGGGAGGAACACCAAAGGCGGAGGCACUCUGCUGGGCCAAUACUAACACUGAGAGACGAAAGCGAGGGGAGCAAAUGGGAUUAGAUACCCUGGUAGUCC
rnacentral:rRNA from 1 species